CUCUCUAUACAUUCCUCUCUCCAUUUCUCUCUCUCACUCUCUUCUAAAAGCCUUUUUCUCUCUAGGCUGCCUCACGAUGCCUCUUCAAGAACAAACCAUCCUAGAUCAAUGGGAAAGUCCCUCUCUAGUUUCUGCACAUCCAAGGAAUGAUGAAAAAUUAGUUGUUUGCAAGGAUCGUGGAGCUAAUGUUUGCAUCAAUUACAAGAUGAAGGAUUUUGUUAAAAGGGUGAAGGAAGAAACUGGUGGAAAAUGUAUUUUCUCUAAUAUUGAAACCUCACUUUUCUUCAACUACAGAUUAGUGAAACUAAAGAAUAUGAUUAUUAUUUUGUUAAGUGGACAUUUUCAUAGGGAGGUCUUUGUUAUUGUUUGUUAUUGUCAAGGAAGUUAAUAAUUUAUUUCCUUUUUCAAGGCAUAUAAGCUGCACUUUUGGGAGUAUCUAGGCUACCAUGGAAAAGAAAGAACACUGCUAAGAGCCUAAAAACAACUUUUUGUUGCUCUUUGGGGCCAUGUUUAACUUUGCCUUGCGGUGAAAAAUGAGACUACAUCAUACAAAAAUACAAUACCUCUGCAGAAUGUACAUCAAUAUAGACUUAUAGAAAUACGACCAUAUACAGUAAUGAAGAUAUAUUUCCAUCCAUGAGAAGUGGAAGCAUCCAAGCAUAAACAAAUUAUUUUCUUAUUUA